rnacentral:tRNA from 1 species
GGGGGCAUAGCUCAGCUGGUUUAGAGCGUCUGCCUUACAAGCAGAAGGUCCUUGGUUCGAAUCCAUGUGCCCCCACAA